UUUUGCUUAUCCUGAUCUUGCUUCUGGGAAACCCACGGACUUGAAAAGAAUUAAUGUAGAUACUGAAAAACUUGCUAGAGUUGCCAUCAAAUACAAUUUGCGUGACUAUUUACGUCACACGAUGCCUUUUUUUAAAGGACAAGUAGAAGAAUUCAGAGAUACUACAUUGGAGUACCCAUUGCAUUCACCAGGUCGCAUUGACCCCCCUAAAGUUCUUGCAGAUAUUGUUGAAUCUUUGAUUGGUGCCAUCUAUAUUGAUUCCAAUUUCUCCAUGGAUACAACUUGGCUGCUGGU